rnacentral:rRNA from 1 species
AUUGAACGCUGGCGGCAUGCUUUACACAUGCAAGUCGAACGGUAACAGGGAGCUUGCUCCGCUGACGAGUGGCGAACGGGUGAGUAAUGCGUCGGAACGUGCCGAGUAGUGGGGGAUAACGCAGCGAAAGUUGUGCUAAUACCGCAUACGUACUGAGGUAGAAAGUGGGGGACCUUCGGGCCUCACGCUAUUCGAGCGGCCGACGUCUGAUUAGCUAGUAGGUGAGGUAAAGGCUCACCUAGGCGACGAUCAGUAGCGGGUCUGAGAGGAUGGUCCGCCACACUGGGACUGAGACACGGCCCAGACUCCUACGGGAGGCAGCAGUGGGGAAUUUUGGACAAUGGGCGAAAGCCUGAUCCAGCCAUGCCGCGUGUCUGAAGAAGGCCUUCGGGUUGUAAAGGACUUUUGUCGGGGAGGAAAUCCCCAGCGUUAAUACCGCUGGGGGAUGACAGUACCUGAAGAAUAAGCACCGGCUAACUACGUGCCAGCCGCCGCAGUAAAAC